CUAAUAGGGCUGCUAUUGCAGGCUACUUUGAUAUAGUAGACUUAAAACUUUUUUGUUUCGUUAGU
rnacentral:tRNA from 1 species